CUUUUGCCCUUUGAUCUUUCUCCAUUAUUGGUUGUACACACACACACACACACACACACUGCACAGAGAGAGAGAGAGCAGAGCCGCGGGAAGCAGCAGGCACGGCCACUGCCCCGGUCAGUGCUCGCGACAGUCCCCGGAUCUACCCUACUAACCAACGAGGACACUCUACACGGGAGUCCCGGAGUAUCCUUUCGUUCCAACGAAGAUAAGGAUACACGUUUCACCCCACAGACCUGAGAAGAAGAAUGUAAAAAAAAAAGAAGGAAAAUGCCUCGGAAAAAGCAAGACCAACCGCAGCGCUUAGGGCUACAAUCACCUCGCGGGCGGCAGCCAUGUUGUGAACCGAGAGAGCUGGAGCGGGUACGCAAGCCGUGACCGCAAGCCUUGACCGCGGGGCCGGUGGAUCAAUAACGGGAUGGGGAUAAGGCCCCAGCAGCAGUCACAGAAGAAGAGAUGAGUUGUGUCAGUGAUACAGAGGAAAGAACACCCACCUCCUCCCCCAAUCCUCCCCCAUCCCUGACCCCUACACCCACCUCCUCCCCCAAUCCUCCCCCAUCCCUGACCCCUACACCCACCUCCUCCCCCAA
ensembl:lncRNA